rnacentral:rRNA from 1 species
GACGAACGCUGGCGGCGUGCUUAACACAUGCAAGUCGUACGGUAAGGCCCUUUCGGGGGUACACGAGUGGCGAACGGGUGAGUAACACGUGAGUAACCUGCCCACAACUUUGGGAUAACGCUAGGAAACUGGUGCUAAUACUGGAUAUGUGCUCCUGCUGCAUGGUGGGGGUUGGAAAGCUCCGGCGGUUGUGGAUGGACUCGCGGCCUAUCAGCUUGUUGGUGGGGUAGUGGCCUACCAAGGCGGCGACGGGUAGCCGGCCUGAGAGGGUGACCGGCCACAUUGGGACUGAGAUACGGCCCAGACUCCUACGGGAGGCAGCAGUGGGGAAUAUUGCACAAUGGGCGCAAGCCUGAUGCAGCAACGCCGCGGGCGGGAUGACGGCCUUCGGGUUGUAAACCGCCUUCAGCAGGGACGAAGCUUUUUGUGACGGUACCUGCAGAAGAAGCACCGGCUAACUACGUG